rnacentral:rRNA from 1 species
CAGCCUCCGCGGUAAUACCGGCGGCCCGAGUGGCGGCCACUAUUAUUGGGCCUAAAGCGUCCGUAGCCGGGCUGGGAAGUCCUCCGGGAAAUCUGGCCGCUUAACGGUCAGAAUGCCGGAGGAUACUCCCAGCCUAGGGAGCGGGAGAGGCCGAGGGUAUUCCCGGAGUAGGGGUGAAAUCCUAUAAUCCCGGGAGGACCACCUGUGGCGAAGGCGCUCGGCUGGAACGCGUCCGACGGUGAGGGACGAAGGCCAGGGGAGCAAACCGGAUUAGAUACCCGGGUAGUCCUGGCUGUAAACGAUGCGGACUUUGUGUCGGACAAGCUAUGAGCUUGUCCGGUGCCGGAGGGAAACCGUUAAGUCCGCCGCCUGGGGAGUACGGCCGCAAGGCUGAAACUUAAAGGAAUUGGCGGG